AUUCUAGUCAUAGUGAGUGAGUUUUGGUAAGAUCUGGUUGUUUAAAAGUGUGUAGUAGCUCCCCACUCUGUCUCUUCCUCCUGCUCCAGCCAUACGAAGUGCCAGCACCUGCUUUGCCUUCCGCCACGAUUGAAAUCUCCCUGAGGUCUCCACAGCAGCAGAAGCUGUUAGGCUUCCUGUACAGCCUGCGACACUGUCCUGCAUACUGAUGAAAGUACUGACAUCAGCUGGUCAAAAUGAUCCUGCAAGAAGCCAGCUCACCAAAGAAUGCAGUUUCUGUAUCCUGAUGAUUUCACCCUCCUUACACUGACAAUCAAUGACUUCAAUUUUCCAGCCCCUGACAUUCCAUGAUCUCCUUAAAAAACCCAACCUAGAACUUUUUGGGGAGAUGAAUUUGAGGAGCUCCUCCUCUCUCCUCAUUCAGUGUCCUGCAAUCAUUAAACUCUUUCUCUGCUGCAAACUUUGCUGUCUCAGCUUAAUGGAUAUGUUAUUGCACAGCAGGCAUACGAACCUGUUGUUCCUAUAACACUAUGAUUCCUAUCCAUCAAUCAAUCAUAUUUAUAUUUUAAAAAUAGAACCAACUCUUGCUUGAGGGACUUCAAGACAGAAAUAUCAGGGAGUUCCAUAUGAUAAAAAAAAAUGCAUGCAUUCCUUGUUCCAGCCAUUCAUUACUUUCUCACCUGAAAUAUACAUUGAACAUUUUUUUUCCAAACUAAAUUCCUAAAAUUGUCUAUCUACAUCAAAAACCCUCCCUAAGAUAGGGUUUUACAGAGCAAAUCACUUUGCAGAGGAACAUCAGAACAUGUGUUUCCUAUCGCCAUGAUAACAAAUACUUACAGAAGAGCCAAUGAAAAGCUAUAGUAAUUCAAGUGAAGUGGAGAUUUUGAGUAAAUGUCUAGAUUGCUCAUUCACAGCUCUGGGCUGAGUAGAGUUAUCAGCCAAUAAAAACUUACUGCCUGGUUUCUUUGCUUUGUCAUUCCAUGUACCUAUAGCAGUGUUAAGCUUCCCCUCUGUGCUGGACAAGCAGGUUUCACUGUAGUAGUCACUGCAGUGCAUGCCUGGAAAGCCCAUCUAGGGCGUAUACACCAAACUGCUAGCAAAAUAGGGCUGGAUUGGAAUUAGAAGCUUGAUUUUUUUUUUUUUUUUUUUUUUUUUGUCCAGGGAAGGAAACAGUACACAGCCUAGAAGUUUUUUCAUCUUCAUUUAAAAAUACAGAUAAAAUUUAGCUGCUAGAGCAUUGCUCAAUCCCCCACCAUCUCAAUGAAUUCAUACUGUGUAAAUAUUGUGAUCUUAAUAAAUAAAUACCGAAGCACAGCUGGCGCCUGUAAGAUAUCACUGUUGGGUUGCUGUGGCCCUGUUAUCACCAGAGGGUGUUGCUAAUUAUUCUCGGAAUUGAGGCCCUGGCAUUCUAGGGGAAAGGAAAGCAGAGGAAAGUCAACAGAGGUUGAAACAAAAAUAAAACAUUGUUUGUUUCAGUCCAUAGCAAGGGCAUUCUACCCUUGUGAAAAUCAGAAACACAUAUAGUAUAGGUAUGCAACUGUCUUUUCUCUGUAAAAAUGAUUCAACAACACUAUUUAUUUCAGCCCUUGAUUGCAUUCCAGCUGAUUAAAAUUCACACCACUUGUUUGUAAGGGCAAGAGGAGAUAAUUGGGGUGUUCAAAGGACAGCGCAGGAGAACCUGGAUGUUUU
rnacentral:lncRNA from 1 species